GAGGAAUCAGCAUCGGCUAACUCCGUGCCAGCAGCCGCGGUAAUACGGAGGAUGCAAGCGUUAUCCGGAAUUAUUGGGCGUAAAGCGUCCGCAGGUGGUGUUUCAAGUCUGCUGUCAAAGACCGAAGCUCAACUUCGUGAUAGGCGGUGGAAACUGAGACACCUAGAGUACGGUAGGGGUAGAGGGAAUUCCCAGUGUAGCGGUGAAA
rnacentral:rRNA from 1 species